UUAGUGCAUGCUAUGUUAUAGGGAAACUUUUAUAUCAACUGGACAACCAGCAGUAUGCCACCUAAACAUUAAGAUCUUGAAGUUUUAGUUUCUGAUAUGUAAAAUGGAUAUAAAUUGGAGCUUUUAAAUUCUUCUUUGAAGAGAAAUGAAUAAUUUAAUUCUUAAUUGUUAAAAAAUUUUGUUUGUCUCUCUGUUGUGUGUUUUACAUCUUCAAGAAAGUACAUCAGUCUGAAACUACUUACGGAGCAUUGUGAAAUUAAUACAGAUCACUCGCCCUUCUAUGAGCCCAAAAGUAUGCUCAAAAUAAUGUCAGUUGUCUUAGGGGCUUUGAAUUCCAUUCGAAUCACUUUUUAUUACAACCACAUAUCUUUACAGAUGAAGAAAUUGAGGCCCACAAGGUUGAAGUGAUUUGGCCAAUGUCACACAGCUGAGAGAGACAGAGUAUGAGUGGGGGAGGGGCAGAGAG